UACGAGGGGGGCAAGCGUUGUUCGGAAUUAUUGGGCGUAAAGGGCGCGUAGGCGGUGCGGUAAGUCACCUGUGAAAUCUCUGGGCUCAACUCAGAGUCUGCAGGCGAAACUGCCGUGCUGGAGUAUGGGAGAGGUAAGCGGAAUUCCUGGUGUAGCGGUGAAAUGCGUAGAUAUCAGGAGGAACACCUGCGGUGUAGACGGCUUACUGGACCAUAACUGACGCUGAGGCACGAAAGCGUGGGUAGCAAACAGG
rnacentral:rRNA from 1 species